rnacentral:rRNA from 1 species
CCCUUAGAUGUUCUGGGCCGCACGCGCGCUACACUGACGAAUGCAACGAGCUUAUAACCUUGGCUGAAAGGUCUGGGUAAUCUCCAAAUUUCGUCGUGAUGGGGAUAGAUUAUUGCAAUUAUUAAUCUUCAACGAGGAAUGCCUAGUAAGCGCAAGUCAUCAGCUUGCGUUGAUUACGUCCCUGCCCUUUGUACACACCGCCCGUCGCUCCUACCGAUUGAAUGGUCCGGUGAAGCGUUCGGACCGUGGCCUUUGGACGGUUCGCCGUCUGUUGGCUGCGGGAAGUUCGUUAAACCUUAUCAUUUAGAGGAAGGAGAAGUCGUAACA